CCCUUAGAUGUUCUGGGCCGCACGCGCGCUACACUGUUCGACGCAGCGAGUCUUAACCUUGACCGAAAGGUUUGGGUAAUCUUCAGCAAAGUCGAACGUGAUGGGGAUCGAUCAUUGCAAUUAUUGAUCGUGAACGAGGAAUUCCUAGUAAGUGCAAGUCAUCAGCUUGCGCUGAUUACGUCCCUGCCCUUUGUACACACCGCCCGUCGCUACUACCGAUUGAAUGGUUUAGUGAGAUCUCUGGAUUGACGCUGGCUAGGGGGCGACCCUUGGCCAGGCUGUCGAGAAACUGCUCAAACUUGAUCAUUUAGAGGAGGUAAAAGUCGUAACA
rnacentral:rRNA from 1 species